rnacentral:rRNA from 1 species
CGAGACCGAUAGCGAACAAGUACAGUGAGGGAAAGUUGAAAAGAACUUUGAAGAGAGAGUUCAAGAGUACGUGAAACCGUUCAGGGGUAAACCUGAGAAACCUAAAAGAUCGAAUGGGGAGAUUCAUCGUCAUACAUACUUGGUAUAUGUGCGAGUUAUGAUAUAAGUUAUCCUUGUGGUAACUAUAAUACAUGCUUGUAUCAUUUAUUGCUGGGAAUGUCGGCGUGCACUUCUCCCCUAGUAGGACGUCGCGACCCGUUGAGUGUCGCUUUAUGGCCCGAAUGGUAGUCUUUGAUCAUUUUUUGAUUGAAGGCCAUUGGUGACCUGAUCGACUGCUCGACGGUAUUCACAUGGUAUUGAGUCGCAAUUUUUUUUUGCGUCAAAUUCAUUGCAAGCGCGGUUAUCAUUCAGUAGUGCGGAUUUAAUGUAGUCACGGAUUUUAACCAGCUGUUGGUUAAUGAUGUUGUUUGA